rnacentral:lncRNA from 1 species
ACAAGAGCAAAUAUUUUAUGAGAGCUGUUACUCCGAGUUGAUUGGAUGGGCAAAGUGAAACCACAGAAUUGGGCUUUAAAACCAAGUGGAUUUACUCUGCUAAAUUUUACAACUAGGAUCUUCUGCUCUGGGUGGAGAGUUGGACAAAAUAACUUCGAAUUUGAGAAACUGCCGCGAUGAAUGUCAGUCCCCAGAGCCGGAACCGUUCCCGGUUUUCUCUACUUGGAUCUGAGAACUCUGUCCCUCCAGCCCUGCGAGCGCUUUGCCAGGGUGACGGGCGGAAAUGUCCCCGCAUCCGUGCCUGCUUUCCCAGAUGGGACCCUCCAGCAGUCCCCUCCACUGCCCGUGCUUCCUCCUAACCACUUCCCCCCAGCGACCGCGGAAGGCGCUUCCUCCCCCGCAGCGCGAGCCCCAAGCUCCUCCAGAGCCCCAGCUCUCCCCGCCCCCUUCCCGACCUUGUUUCAUAUGACCCCUCCCCCGCACAUACUCAAUUUCGUCUUCCCAAGGCGCCCACUCUCCACAUCCUGAUGAAAAAAAGAGCCGGCUGCUGUCCUA